rnacentral:rRNA from 1 species
UACGUAGGGUGCGAGCGUUAAUCGGAAUUACUGGGCGUAAAGCGUGCGCAGGCGGUUUUGUAAGCCAGAUGUGAAAUCCCCCGGGCUUAACCUGGGAAUGGCAUUUGGGACUGCAAGGCUGGAGUGCGGCAGAGGAGACUGGAAUUCCUGGUGUAGCAGUGAAAUGCGUAGAUAUCAGGAGGAAUACCGAUGGCGAAGGCAGCCCCCUGGGCCAACACGUCGACGCUCAGGCACGAAAGCGUGGGGAGCAAACAG